GCUCAUCACCCCAACUUCACGAGUGGUCACCUCCUACUCACCUGUGGGACAAGAAGGAUUGGAGAAGACUCGCUGGGGGGCAGAUGUGCUCAGAGGAGAGUGGGAAGAAGAUCUCCUUUUGCCGCUACUUCCCAGUCGAUGGAUUUAUCACUGGCGCGACGGUAUUUUAGUUAAAAAAAAAUAAAGGCGAGUGAAGCAUGG